UUUUUCUUUUUUUUUUGAGACAGAGCCUCGCUCUAUUGCCCCAGCAGUGCAGUGGCAUGAGUUGGCUCACCACAACCUCUGCUUCCCAGGUUCAAGUAAUUCUUCUGCCUCAGCCUCCUGAGUAGCUGGGAUUACAGGUGCAUGCCACCAUGCCCAGCUAAUUUUUGUAUUUUUAGGAGAGACCGCCAGGCUAGUCUUGAACUCCUGACCUCAAGUGAUCUGUCUGCCUCAGCCUCCCAAAAUGCUGGGAUUACAGAUGUGAGCCACUGUGCCCAUCUGUUUGCCCACUUUUUAAUGGGUUGUUUGUUUUUCUCUUGUAAAUUUGUUUAAGUUCCUUAUAGAUGCUGGAUAUUACACUUUUGUCAGAUGCAUAGUUUACAAAAAUUUUCUCCCAUUCUGUAGGCUGUCUAUUCAUUCUAUUGAUAGUUUCCUUUGCUGUACAGGAGCUCUGUAGUUUAAUUAGAUGCCAAUUGCCAAUUUUUGCUUUUUCUGCAAUUGCUUUUGGUGUCUUUAUCAUGAAAUCUUUGCUCAUUUCUAUGUCCAGAAUUGUAUUGCCUAGGUUGUCUUCCAGGGUUAUUAUAGUUUUGGGUUUUAUAUUUAAGUCUUUAAUCCAUCUUGAAUUAAUUUUUGUAUAUAGUGUAAGGAAGGGGUUCAGAUUCAAUCUUCUGCAUAUGGCUAGCCAGUUAUCCCAGCACCAUUUAUUGGAUAGAGAAUUCUUUCCUCAUUGCUUGUUUUCAUCAGGGUUGUUGGAGAUUAGAUAGUUGUAGGUGGGUGGCCUUAUUUCUGGCUUCUUUAUUCUGUUCUAUUGGUCUGUCUGUUUUUGUACCAGUACCAUGCUGUUUUGGUUACUGUAGCCCUGUAGUACAGUUUGAAGUUAGGUAGCGUGAUGCCUCCAGCUUUGUUAUUUUUGCUUAGGAUUGCCUUGGCUAUUCAGGCUCUUUUUUGGUUCCAUAUGAAUUUUAAAAUAGUUUUUUCUAGUUCUGUGAAGAAUGUCAAUCGUAGUUUAAUAGGAAUAGCAUUGAAUCUGUAAAUUGCUUUGGGCAAUAUGGCCAUUUUAACGAUAUUGAGUCUUCCUACUCAUGAGCAUGGAGUAUUUUUCCAUUUGUUUGUGUCAUCUCUGAUUUCUUUGAACAGUGUUUUAUAGCUCUUCUUGUAGAGAAAAAUCUUUUACCUCCCUGGUUAGCUGUAUUCCUAGGUAUUUUAUUUUAUUUUUUGGCAGUUGUGAAUGGGACUGCAUUCCUGAUUUGGCCCUCAGCUUGACUGUUGUUGGUGUAAAGGAAUGUUUGCGAUUUUUGCAUAUUGUAUCCUGAGAAUUUGCUGAAGUUGUUUAUCAGCUUAAGGAGCUUUUAGGCUGAGACUAUGGAGUUUUCUAGAUAUAGGUUCAUAUCAUCAGCAAACAGGGAGAGCUUGACUUCCUCUCUUCCUAUUUGGAUGCCUUUUAUUUCUUUCUCUUGCCUGAUUGCUCUGGCCAGGACUUUCAAUAUUACGUUGAAUA
rnacentral:lncRNA from 1 species